AACAUUAACUGCCUGAGUUACUUCCUGGUUUGGUGAGAGCUCAUGACAGAAGCUGCAGAGAUGGAGGAACCUCUGAUAGGAGUUUUAUUAACUCGGUCCAUUUAAAUGGUAAGACGGCAUUCAAAGGUUGUUCAAUUCAUAGCAAAUUCAAAGUUUCAAAUUUAAAGGUUUACUUAAAUCAUUUGAAGUGGUCAUGGUGCGUCGAGUCUGAAUGUGCAGCGUUUCACUAUGAAAUGCCACACAUAUGGCGUUUAACCCCUGUGCUGCCAUUGGUGUAACCCCCACAAUCUCAGCCAACCAACGGCAACGGCCGCUGCUUCUGGCUUCUGCAGCUCUGAAAAAAAAUAUAAAUCUAAGCCAGCUAUGUCUGCAGUUUGGCUAUUUGGAAUUCACUUUGAAUUCUCACAAAUAUUCCUAAAAUUGUCUAUUUUGGUCUAAAAUAUUAAGCUAACUUUAAAUCCAAUCGAAUUCCUGUCAAUUCACGCUUUAGUAAUUAACUGACAGUCUACAGUUGUGUGCAGCAUCUUUUACAACAGUAGUCAACAUGGCGACUCUCUACUCAACAGUGGCCAUGUCUGCUUGGAGUAAGGGACAUUGACAAUCAUAAGGAUUUGUAAAAUUCCAAUAUUAAAUAUUAUGAGCACUGAAUAUCUCCUUCUCUCUAACACAGGACAUGUCAGAAGUCAGGAAGAAUGCUUUUCUGGCUGCCCUUUCUGCCAUAUUUGAUUGGACUUCAUCGCAGGAGGACGACAUACCUACUACAAAUCGAGAAGAAGUGGACAUGCAGUACAGGCCACAGAGGUCGACAUUUAUCCAUCCUUCUGGCAAGGAGAGGUCUACGUGCAAAAACUUCUUCUGGAAGACGUUCUCCACAUGUUGAGUGGGCUUUAAGACAUGGCUUUCCCAUAGAAAUAUUUACCCUGCUUUUUACAGACCCUAAUAGUGCAGUUAUACUUCAAAAACAUACAGCUUCCCGCUAGAUAAAUGAUAGCUGUAUAUUUCACGUACUGUUUCAGUUCAGUGUUUUAUUUUAUGAAGUGGAGAUUGCCAGGUGAAUCUCACUACUGGGGGGUCUUCCAAAAUGAAAGAAGUAAUUCAAUGAACACCUUACACGGCUGUAAAGGCUCCAAACAGCUAAAUUUACUUAAGAAAACUUUCUUAGGAUAUUAAAUUUUUACUUUUUCUAGAAUAUUAAUUCUGAAAAUGAACACAUUUUAAACAUAGUAUAAGACCUGAUGGGAAAGACGAUGCACUGUGUUUAUGGUAUAUCCUCCCAUGUUAUGAUCACUGACACGAUGGGGGCACAAACAAAAAUGGUAUUUAUCUCCGGAAUUAAAGUUUUUUUUCUUUUUAUAAAGAGAGUCUUCAAGGACAGUGCCUUUGACUAUAAUCACUUAAAAAUGAAGUAGAUAUGGUGCUUGCUUAGAGUGACCCUUUAAGCACUAUUUAGAACACUUAUUAUAACCCACAACCUGAUAUAUAUACAGAGAUACAAUAUUACGUAAACAUUUUAGCCUAUCCUGAGAGCGAGAGAUAUGUUUGAGAAAUACAAGUUAAGUACUUUAAUCUAAUUAGUAUUACAAUAAUUGGAUUAUUAAUAUUGGUAUUUACCCUUGUAAACUAUAAAGGUAACCCAUUUAUUUAAAGGAACCCUAUAGGGUCAGGAACACAAACAUGUAUUCCUGACCCUAUAGUGUUAACACCACCAUCUAGCCCCCCUGGGCCUCUAAUGCCUCCAUAAAUAUAGCAAAAUCUUACUGUAUUCAAGCCUGAAGCUGUAACUCUGCAUGCUGUUAGACUCAGAAAAACAAGCAGUCUGCUGACAUCAUCAGAAGUGGUAGCCUGAUCCAGUCACAAUGCUUCCCCAUAGGAUUGGCUGAGACUGACAAAGAGGCAGAUCAGGGGCAGAGCCAGCAUGAUUCAAACACAGCCCUGGCCAAUCAGCAUCUCCUCAUAGAGAUGAAUUGAAUCAAUGAAUCUCUAUGAGGAAAGUUCAGUGUCUACAUGCAGAGGGAGGAGAUACGGAAUGUUUGGAUGCAUUUUAGGCAGCCAUGACCCAGGAAGGAUCUCUAACAGCCAUCUGAGGAGUGGCCAGUGAAGUUAUCACUAGGCUGUAAUGUAAACACUGCAUUUUCUCUGAAAAGACAGUGUUUACAGCAAAAAGCCUGAAGGUAAUGAUUCUGCUCACCAGAACAAAUUCAAUAAGCUGUAUCCUAUACAAUGAUCUGUGUCCUAUACAAUAAGCUGUAUAUCAUUCAAUAAGCUGUAGUUGUUCUGCUGACUAUAGUGUCCCUUUAGGGGUUUUUGCGCUGUGUUAAAUCCAAUAAUAAGAAUAAAAUACUCACAUAAAACAAAGAAUUGAUACUAAUCGGAAAUAAAAUGAAAUGCGCAUGUUACGCGAUGUUUGAAAUCAGUCCAGGAUAUUGGUAAUCUAAAAUAAGAGGCUGAGGGCUGUGUAUAAUGUAUCUCGUGCUCACAUCUGAUUCUCCACCUCAACUGUCUGACAAUAAAGUGACUUAUAGAAUUGUGAACUGAGAACUGAUUUGUAAACAUUGGAGUCAGGAAAACCAUCUACAACCUGGGCGUCAGCUCACUGCUUAGAGCCGAGUUCCCCUAAACCUGGAGCCAAUAGCAAUACAAUUUUUCAUGCCAAGCACGAUCAAUAUAUAUCAAA